rnacentral:lncRNA from 1 species
AUGCUGGUUUAUGAGUGGAACAACCAGGAUCAUUCCAAAGUGUGCACGAUUGCAAACAAUCAGGGACCACAUAUGGAGCUCAUCUAUGCUGUGGGAGCUUCAUCAAGAACUGCGUGUGAAGUAACAAAAUUUGGAAGCAAAUGUAUGAAGCACUCUUCUGGCUCAUGCAGCCAAUGAGGCUGUACCUGAGAAUAGAUUUCUGAAGAGCAAGUAAAGCAGGAGCGCAUUCAAAAGCAAGCCAAAGGAGAACACUAGUGAACAGCCAAAAGUAUUUAAAUCAUAAAUCUAAAUGAAGAAACGAUGCCAAGUUCCCAAGGCAGAAGUAAGGGUUUAAUGAACAAAAGGACCAAAAGUCAGGAAACAGAAGGAAAUGAAAUUCAAGAAUUAGCAGGCCAGCAACACAAGAUAGAGAAGUUCUGGGAAGACAGCCAGACUAUUGUGUGUUUUGGGCCUGUUUGUGUUUCUCUGUAGUAACUGUUGCACAAUUUUUUAAUACACAAAAUCCUCUGAACUCUACACUUGGAAAGGGGA